rnacentral:rRNA from 1 species
UACGAAGGGUGCAAGCGUUACUCGGAAUUACUGGGCGUAAAGCGUGCGUAGGUGGUGAGUUAAGUCUGUCGUGAAAGCCCCGGGCUCAACCUGGGAAUGGCGAUGGAUACUGGCUCGCUAGAGUGCGGUAGAGGAGAGUGGAAUUCCCGGUGUAGCAGUGAAAUUCGUAGAUAUUCGGAAGAACACCAGUGGCGAAGGCGACUCGCUGGACAGGUAUUGACGCUGAGGUGCGAAAGCGUGGGGAGCAAACAGG